rnacentral:lncRNA from 1 species
CUAAAGACUCGAGAUUUAGGGUUUUGAGGACUAAUAAGGUUUUCUUAGAUAUCUAGCAAUCUACAAGUUGGAUUGGAGAGAUUUUUGAUUUUAUCAGUAGAAGAUUAGAUUUCUUAUAUGCAAGAAAAAUUUGGAAGUAAUCAAACAAUUGAAAAGGGAGAUAUCAACGCUCGAAGUUGGCAUUAAGAUAAGAGAAGGAAAGACCAAUCGACAUCCGAGCCAAAUUUUGAGGUCAUUGACUAAUUGGUAAGUGCGAUUUUCUUCAAAAUUUGUAUGCUAGUUUUUAACUUAAAUUCCAAGAAGUGUGCAAAUUUUGAAUUAGAAUCAAUGAUUCAAUCUUUAGUUAUUUAAUAUUCAAAUUUGUAAUUAAGAUUUGGUUUGGAUUAGGAUUUGUUUAGGGUUUAGGAUUAGGGUUUGGUUAGGAUUUGAUUUAGGAUUUAGGGUUUGUUAGGGUUAGAGUAUGGUAGAGAUUUGGUUUAGGAUUUAGGAUUUAGGAUUUGAUUUAGGAUUUGAUUUAGGAUUUGAUUUAGGAUUUAGAGUUUAGAUUAGGAUCUAGAUUAGGGUUUGUGUUAGGAUUUAGGAUUUGGUUUAGGAUUUGAUUAGGAAUUAGUUUAAGGUUUAGGUUUUGAUUAAGGUUUAAUUAGGGUUUGGUUUAGGAUUUAGGGUUUUUCUAGGAUUUGAUUAAGAUUGGAUUAGAAUUAAAGGUUGGUUAGAAUUUAAGGUUUUAUUAGAUUUUUGUUAGGGUUUGAUUAAGUUUUCUUUAAUAUUCUUUUAUAUUUCAUUAGGAUUUUCUUGUGUUUCUUUUAUAACUUUAAUAAAAUUUAAUUGAACUUG